AGGUAGUGACAAGAAAUAACAAUACAGGGCGAAUGUCUUGUAAUUGGAAUGAUGGUGACCCAAACCCUCACCAGAGUAGCAAUUGGAGGGCAAGUCUGGUGCCAGCAGCCGCGGUAAUUCCAGCUCCAAUAGCGUAUAUUAAACUUGUUGCAGUUAAAAAGCUCGUAGUUGUAUUUUUGCGUUAGCGGUUUGACCAUUUGGUUGGUUAUUUCGUUUUCGCUUUUGGGAAUUUCCCUUUUUACUUUGAGAAAAUUAGAGUGUUUCAAGCAGACUUUUGUCUUGAAUACUUCAGCAUGGAAUAAUAGAGUAGGACUUUGGUUCUAUUUUGUUGGUUAUUGAACCUUAGUAAUGGUUAAUAGGAACG
rnacentral:rRNA from 1 species